CAAAAAAAUAAAUACGCGGUGGGUCCAUGCAGGUUUUAGUGGCAUGCUUGGGCAACAAAUUUGAAGUCAGUUGUCCAAAUCUCGAUUUGCCGAUGGGAGUCGGAGGAAAAUGUGCAAGUGUUAAUGUGUGUGUACAUGUGCAAGGCAGCCGCCUUGUCAGCAAACAUGUCUCCAUGUCCCCUUCCGUCAAAACUCCAUGCUUGUUCACACCGUGACUCUGAAUACUCUCAUGGAAAAUAUUUGCAACGCAAAGUCAAAACCCGUAAUUCAUUAUUUGUAUACAUAUUCAGAUGUUUAUAUCCGUUACCCCUUUCAUCCUAAAUUAUAUAAUACUAUUUGGUUGGUGGCAGAGGCCUGGGACUCCGAGACGCCCAUUGAGCGGUGACGUUUCGUUUGUAGGAAGUUGAGAGUCUACUAUACUAUUUGGUUAGUGUUUGUACGCACAAAAUAUUCUUAUCGGUUCCAUACGAAUAUCAUCCCUGAUUUUUUUUGCGACCCCUUUCUUUCGAUCUGAGUGCUAGGCUUCAGGAAGGAAAUGUGUUGCUGCAUAUAAACUUGAUAUACAUCAAGCCAUUAAACAUAUCAGAUCCGUUUUUUUCAUUUCAAACUCACAACACACCUAAAUUCCUGUCUGAAUCAAGAACAUUGUAAAAAAAAUGCAUUAAAGUUGAUCAAUUUUCCACUUUUUUUCAAUUUUAACUUGAUGAAAAAAUUCGAAAUUUAAAAUCUUCUUUAAAGUCUUAAUUUAACAAGUUUUUGCUUGUUUCCUUUCUUGUUUCUUCUUUCUGCAGACAGAAGAUUUCAUUUGCUAUUCUUUAUUUCAGCCUAGUACUCAGAUCGAAAAAAAAGUUCUCAAGCUCGUUCGCCCCCGACACUUCGGUUCAGCUCCAUACCUAAAUCGUUGACACGAUAAAAGCAGCUGGAUCGAGAGUGAGAAGGGCUUGGAGAAAAAGUUGAGCGACUUAAGUGUCGAUCAACUGUACACAUAUGUAUGUAUAAUACCUAAUAUGAUGUACAUUUAUAUUUAAAUAAACUAUUGUUCACAGGAGACGAACAAGAAUAAUAAAGAGAACAGCGUCUUUGCCACUGAGCAUGUCGUGGAAAAGCUACUGGAAAAGCUCGCCCAUAAAUUGGAGCCUGCACGAAUAAGGCCCGCCUUUUAGUACUGGAAAAUUACUUGGUGAAACUGACAGAGAAGGAAGCUACCGAAGUGGAAAAAAAUGACCACCGUACUUUUUAAAGAGAUCGAGGCCAUACAAAUGGAGAAAUAUAGAGAGGAGAAUAAAUAUAAAUAUUAUGCAUUUU
rnacentral:lncRNA from 1 species